ACGUAGCCCAAGCCCAGUAUCUUAUUUAGUCAUACAUGACCAACUAGCCGUUGAAGAGGUCCGACUAGCCGUUGAAGAGGUCCAACUAGCCGUUGAAAAUAAUUGAUGGAAAAGGAAAAUAAAAUAGAAGUUAGAAUCCUAAUCCCACAUCGGAAAGUAGUGGAAUGGGAGGAGGACUCAAAAAAGUCUAUAAAUAAGACCACAUUGCCCCCUCAUAUUCAGAACAAACAACCACCGAGGGUAGAGCACAUUCAUGGUGAAACCUUUAGCAAGCCGAAGACCACAAUCCCUUGAUAGCAACCCAUCAUCAACUCUUCCAUUGUCGACAAUGUUGCUCCGGUACCGUAAUCUGGUGAAUUCUUCAACCUUUCCCUCAGUUUCAAACUCAGAAAUUUAACCGAUUGUGAUAUACAACCAAUCAUGGGAUACUAUAAUCUGGUAUGUUCUUGAUCCAUGGGGAGAUCGCUCAGGGACUGGGUGGGGGAUUGAGUCAGUUACCAAGCAUGUCACCAUGGUGAAGCGCGCUAAGGGAGCAGUUAGUAAAUUUGAAAACCCUCGAAUCUCUUUUUUUUUUUACCAAUUACGUUAUGUUUGAGUUUGAUUUCCUCAACACAGAGGAGCCAUGGGGAGGUAGAAGAUAAUAGAAGGCGAGGGAAUAAGCGGGUGUGACUUCCAUCUAAUCUACCUAUGCAACACUUGACAAAUAUUCCAGGAAAAGCUGUUGAAAAAGGUUUCUCUGGCACAUCAACCAGCCUUGGUCCUCUUCAGCUUGAAGCACGCAGUGGUUUCCACACAAGCAGAGCAAUGUCGAGCUCCACCAUGGCCGCCUCUUGUUCGGAGAGCAGUUUGGGCUCGCUUGACAUCCAUCCGAUCAGAAUAUCCUCCUCAGGAGCUGAAGAGUCUAAGAGACUCACUGGCUCAAAAGGGACUUCCACUGUCAAGGUCGACUAUUGAUGGAUAUGAAGCUUCAGGCGGAGAGGACAGUGACCGAGUUCCUUUAAUGAAUCUAUUCGUUCAUGCCAGAUUAACAUGAUGAGACAUACCCGAUUAUGAAGGGGUUGCCAGGAUCACAUAGUGAGGAUGGAGCCCUGCAACAUACCCUACUUUGUGGAAGUGUUCCUUGUAAUGAGUUUGAAUAUGCAUUCAAGGUUUAUAGGCUAUCUGCUAAAAUAAAAUAACAAGUAGAACUGCUUUUCUUAGUGGGUUUAACCUAUUUCACUGUGAUGUUUUGUUUUAUAAAGAUGAUAUGUGACUAUUGAAAAUUGUAGACCACAUUACUUGUUUUGACUUUUCUCUGCAGGCUGUUCAACUGUGGAUGGUUGAUAAAGCCGUUCGUCACAGGCGGCUACAUAUUUGUUGGUGAAGUGCAGAUAACCACCAACCUCUGCCUUCUAGCUUCGCCAGGUAUGAGAGCAGAACAGUUGAAACGUAGACUUCCAUUCCAUCCUUGUGUUAUUUCUUUAUAACUGCAGGCAGUCUCACGGGUGCAAGUGAUGAGGAUUUUUUUAAUUCACAUGAGAUCGAGAUGGUUCGUGUUGCUGAUGGUGUGUUGUCGUACUCCAAAAUCAGCCUUCUUCUAUUGCAGCCCAAUUCAUUUGAAGAUGUAGGUGCUUCCCAGUUAAUCCUCCAUGGCAACCACCAGAAAUUUGGCCGUGGAAGUCGUAUCUCGGGGUAACAUUCUUAUAUAGCAAACGCUACACAUGAUCAGAAGAUUAUUGUAAGACUUUUAGCAGUUCUUAACUUCUAAACAAGUGAUCAUGCUUUUAGGUGCGCAUGGUGACGCAUGGGGGAUGUCCUGUGACACCACCCACACCACCCCCUCGGUUUAUUUGCAUUUCCAACUGACAUGUGCCUGCUGAUUUGUUAGAUUUAUCUAAUGAGAAAUUCCUAGCAAAGCUUGCUCGGCUCUAGAUAGCAAUUCCUAGGAAACUUUGCAAUAGUAGACCUAGGAAAACUUGGCAGGAAGAUUACUUGGAAACUUGGCAAUAGAAGACCUAGGAAAACAGCCUGGCUCUAGACCGAGCAAUUCCUAGGAAAACUGCCCGGCUCUAGACCGAGCAAUUCCUAGGAAAACUGCCCGGCUCUAGACCGAGCAGAUUUCUAGGAAAGAACUGCCCGGCUCUAGACCGAGCAAUUCUUAGGAAAACUGCCCGGCUCUAGACCGAGCAAUUCCUAGGAAAACUGCCCGGCUCUAGACCGAGCAGAUUCCUAGGAAAGAACUGCCCGGCUCUAGACCGAGCAAUUCUUAGGAAAACUGCCCCGGCUCUAGACCGAGCAAUUCCUAGGAAAACUGCCCGGCUCUAGACCGAGCAAUUCCUAGGAACAAACUGCCUGGCUCUAGACCGAGCAAUUCCUAGGAAAAAACUGCCUGGCUCUAGACCGAUCAAUUCCUAGGAAAAAACUGCCUGGCUCUAGACUGAGGUAAUUCCUAGGAAAACUGCCCGGCUCUAGACUGUGAGCAAUUCCUAGGAAAACUGCCCGGCUCUACCUUUUCACAGUACCAAUAGUUUGACAAGGUUACCUGACUGAGACACUCAUGAAUAUAAUUGUUGCAUUGAUAUGUGAUCGUUCCCUAGUUAUUUUGUUUUUCUUUGGUAUAAUUGUUGCUUAGUUAUAUUAUUUUUCUGGUAUUUCAUUGAUAUAGUUCAUAUUUUGUCAAAGAUGAUGGGGCUAGUUGCAAUAAUUGGUCAUUGAUUGAGAAACCCGGAAGUUGUCAAUUAUCAAGUCCCGUAAAAUUAUGAUUAGUUCUUCUGAUUUCUAAGCUAUAGUGAAGAAACAUUCCAACCUAAGAUUAUGUUCCGUAUUGCUUAAUCUUUGUGGUUCAUUGGAUUUUGUAAUGUGAUGCACGUGCUUCAGGAAAAGAGAGAAUGAAUGAAUGUUAUGAGUAGCAAUGCAGUCAUAAUGUCAGCUGCUAUGGUUCUGCCUUCUCGCAUCCAAAAUUUUGGUUCUGCUUAUCUUUGCGGUGAUAUCUGAUCUUAGUUUUUGCAACAACAGUUCUCUUCUGGUUCAUUUGUAAUAACAUGGGCGAGAUAAGAUGUUUUGUGUAGUUUUUUUGGGUAAGAAGUCAUUUUCAUUGUGAGAGAAAUGAAAGAAUAUCUAUUUGCAUCUAUUUGCACAGGUUGGUUCCCAGGCUGGUAGUGCAUGCUGCCACUGCUGAACAAUGAAUAAGAGAUUCCGGUAAUGUAAUUUCUUGUGCAUGGUUGUAAACUUUUUACAGAUUUUGCUUCUUGCUCCUAUUUUUUUUCACAAGCAAUCAAAGGAUUUCCAACAACAAGAAUCCUCUUUAGUACGACCGGCUGGUUUAGUCUCGUUUCAAGACCUUUCUUUGUAGUGUGCAUUAUAUCCAAAAUUCAUGUCUCAUCUGAUGACAUGCUUUUAAUUCUUCAAUGUAUUCUUUAUAUAUUCUGACUUAAUUAUUGACCAUUCACGGUCUUAUGUGCCAUAGAUUGUCAUUGGUGUUUUCCAUCUUGGAGAAGGUCAGUAUUUUUACCCUUAUUACUCUGCAGAUUGCAAAACAUGUUAAGAAAAUGAUUAGGAUUCGUUCUAAGAUUUAUCAGUUGAUGGAGGAGUGGACAUUGGCCAAGAGAUGCAGCUGAAAAGAUUUUCGUGGUUUUAUUUGUAAUGUUGAUUUUUCAUGGAGGCUUUGGAUGGUUCGUUACAAACAGGUUUUCUGUGCAAUAUAGUUAGCUUCCGCAUGAAGACCAUUCGAGGAAUGUCAUAUUCUAUGACAUUCCUGAAACAGUUCCUGUGCAGACUUAUUUGCAGCUUCUCCCUGGUAGGUCUCCAUCUACUAGCAUUGCAUUGCAGCUUCUCCCUGUAUGAAUCCUUAACUUUUAAUGUUUUCAGGUACUUUGCAUUACUUGGCAUGAAUCCCUGUAUAAAUCCCAUCUACUAGCAUUGAUUACUUGGCUUCUAGACCGGGAAAACUUCCUAGGAAAAACUACUUACCUGGCUAACGAGAAAACUUCCUAGGAAAACUUACCUUGCUCUCGACGGGUAAAACUUCCUAGGAAAACUUACCUAGCUCUUGCUCUAGACGGGGAAAACUUCCUAGGAAUACUUUAAACCCUAGGAAAACUUUACCUAGAGCUCUUGCUCUAGAGGGGGAAAAGUUCCUAGGAAAACUACCUUGCUUAGAGACGGGGAAAAGUUCCUAGGAAAACUUACCUUGCUAGAGAGGGGAAAAGUUCCUAGGAAAACUUACCUUGCUAGAGAGGGAAAAAGUUCCUAGGAAAACUACCUUGCUUAGAGACGGGGAAAGUUCCUAGGAAAACUUACCUUGCUAGAGACGGAGAAAAGUUCCUAGGAAAACUUACCUUGCUAGAGACGGGGAAAAGUUCCUAGGAAAACUUACCUUGCUCUAGACGGUAAAAAGUUCCUAGGAAAACUUAUCGCUCUAGAUUGGGAAAAAAACUUACCCUUGUAGAUCGGGAAAAAGUUCCUAGGAAAACCUAGCUGGUGAGUCCGGGAAACCUACCUUGCUAUAGAGAUUGGGUCCUAGGAAAACCUACCUUGCUAGAGACCGGGAAAAGUUCCUAGGGAAACUUAGCGCUAGACCGGGAAAAAUUCCUAGGGAAACUUACCGGUCUAGACCGGGAAAAAUUCGAUCUUGACUUGUUUAAAUGGGCAGAAUCGAACUUUCAUAUCACUUUGUGUGACAUCAACUUAAGCUAAUCAGGUAAGUGUUACUAUCGGCAUGCUUAUAUAUUUGAUGUUGACACAUGUUCGUGGUUUAGAGAAAUAAUUUUGUAGAAGUUCGAACUGAAACUGAUGAGGGACAUAGGUUGAUGAUUAUUUAAAUGGGCAGAAUCGAACUUUCAUAUCACUUUGUGACAUCAGCCUAAGCUGCUAAUUAGGUAAGUAGUCUUACUAAUGGCAUAGUUAUAUUUAAUGUUGACACGUGUUCGUGGUUUUGAGAAAUAAUUUUGUAGAAGUUCGAACUUGAAAUUAUUGUUAUGGGCGUAAUAGGUUGAUUAUUUAAAUGGGUGGAAUUGAACUUUCAUACAUCAGCCUAAGCUAAUCAGGUAAGUGGCCUUACUAUCGACAUGGUUAUAUUUAAUGUUGACACAUGUUCGUGGUUUAGAAAAAUAAUUUUGUAGAAGUUUGAAUUUGAAAUAUCUUAAGGGCUCACAUAAUAGGUUUACUUAUUUAAUGGGUGGGCGGAAUCGAACUUUCAUAUCACUUUGUGACAUUAGCCUAAGCUAAUCCUAAUCAGGUAAGUGGCACGUGUUCAUGGUAUGGUUAUAUUUGAUGUUGACACGUGUUCGUGGUUUAGAGAAAUAAUUUUGUAGAAGUUCGAACUUGAAACUGAUGUUAUGACACAUAACACUUAUUUAAAUGGGCGGAAUCAAACUUUCAUAUCACUUUGUGACAUCAGCCUACUAAUUAGGUAAGUGGCCUUAUUAUCGUAGGCAUGGUAUAUUUGAUGUUGACACGUGUUUGUGGUUUAGAGAAAUAAUUUUGUAUAAGUUCGAACUUCAAAUUGAUGUUAUGGCACAAAGCACUUAUUUAAAUGGGCGGAAUUAAACUUUCAUAUCAUUUUGUGACAUCAGCCUAAGCUAAUUAGGCAAGUGGCCUUACUAUCGUUGGUAUGGUUAUAUAUGUUGACACGUGUCCGUGGUUUAGAGAAAUAAUUUUGUAGAAGUUAGGUUGUAUUGAAGUGAUAGGAUAUGGGAGUAUAAAAGAAUACGGUUAGGUUGUGUGUAGAGAGGAAUAAGUUUGUGAGAUUUAUAAAACGAUAGUUAGGAUACGUUUCUGUGAUGAUAUGAUUAAGGUACGUUCAUGUAACGAUAUGACAUGUUAAGGCUAUAAUAAGUUAGGGAAUAUGACCCUAAUGAUAUGACUGUGAUAGAUAUUCGUUAGGCUAUGAUAAGUUGGGAACCAUAUGACCAUGAAGGGUUCACGACAUGAUAUAUAUGUUGUCAUAUGAUAUGAAAUAUGUUAUGGUACGAGAUAUGUGAUAAAUGUGUUUAUUGUGUAUGAUAUAUUUAUAGAACGAUAACGUUAAGAUACGUUCCUGUGAUGAUAUGACUAAGGCACGUUCAUGUAACAUGACUGUGAUAGAUAUUCGUUAAUGCUAUGAUAAGUUAGGGAACGAUAUGACUAUGAAGUGUUCACGACAUGAUAUGAUUAUGAUACGACAUGUGAAU